UGCCAGCCGCCGCGGUAAUACGUAAGUCGCAAGCGUUAUCCGGAUUUACUGGGUGUAAAGGGAGCGCAGGCGGUUGGGUAAGUCAGAGGUGAAAUGUCGGAGCUUAACUCCGGCCCUGCCUUUGAUACUGCUCAUCUUGAGUGUUGGAGAGGACAGCGGAAUUCCAGGUGUAGCGGUGGAAUGCGUAGAUAUCUGGAAGAACAUCAGUUGCGAAGGCGGCUGUCUGGCCAAACACUGACGCUGAGGCUCGAAAGCUAGGGGAGCGAACAGGAUUAGAUA
rnacentral:rRNA from 1 species